rnacentral:tRNA from 1 species
ACUUUAAUAGUUUAAUCAGAACAUAGUGUUGAAGCUACUAAGGUGGAAUUUUAUUCCUAAAGUC